rnacentral:lncRNA from 1 species
CGAAAUGCUGGGAUUACAGGCGUGAGCCACCACGCCCGGCCGGGUUUGCAAUUUUUACAUGUCAAGAUGAAAUAAAGGAGAAUAUUAAUUUAACAUUUCAAGAUUUAACAUCUCAAGAUCGCCAAGAUUUUAGGGUGGAAAUCCAAAAUCAUGUUGGCAAUGACAAUGAAAACUGUCUUCUAUCUAGAAAUAAAAAAGAAUAUGAAGAAAAAACAAUGGUGGUGUUAGAGAAAGGACCCACAGAGUCUGAGAAUGUGACAGAAGAGCCCUUCCACGUCUGGGAAUGCAACAAGGAACAUAUUAUAUCUAUUUUUAAAUCUUCAAAAUUCCUGUAGUAGCUGAGAGCUGGAAAUGCUACUUGGAUUAUCUCAUUGUUGGACCUCACCUAACACCCAGUUUCCUUUCCCUCACAUUGUGUACUUGGACUUUGCUCCUGCCAUUUAUGUGCUUCCUGCAAUACCGUCAUAGACCACCAUCACCUCCACAUUCAUUCUCCAACCACUGCUACCACAAUACUCUGACUAAAUGAUAACCUGUGGCUGGAAAGAGUUAGGAUACUUUUCUAAAGCCCAAACUAAAUUCCACUCAACAAAGUAAUUGAAUGGUAUCUUUGUGAGUUUGAAUUGUUAAAUAAGGUCUAAAUGAUAGCAUAGGAAUGAAGAUUAGCAGAAGUCAGUAUGGCAGACAAACCAAGAGACUGGAGCUUCACACUUUGGAGAGACAAUUUGAGUUUUUGUUCCACUAAAUGACAUUCAUACACGAAAGACACCUGAAGAUGUUACAACCACAACACCUCCAGAUGUAUUUCCAAUGGACUCUUCCUUUGAGAUUCAGCUUAACUGAAUAUGUAUUUACUGAUUACCUUCCACACAAAAGGCUUUAUGUUUACUGACUCUUCUGUAAUAAGUACUGUGAUAGGCAAUAGGAAGACAGAGAUAUCAUGCAUUCUCCUUCCUUAAAUAAGUCACAGUGUAAUAGGGAUGACAGACAAUACUAGGAAAAAUGAGCUGUGCUAGAAAUACAAGCAGAAAGAGCUGGGAACUCAGAAAAGGGACAUCAAUUCAUCCUGAAGAGAAAAGUGAUACUUUCGGGAGAGAUAUGUGUGGUGGAUGGCAGUGGGUGAAUGACAAAAGGGAUUGGGACAUAAGGUGAUCUUAGGCAAGGAAACAAAACAGAUAAAAGCACUGGACAAAGCAUAGUACUUUCAGAAACCACAAAUUGGUGUGCUGGGAGCUCAUAUGUAGGUGUGAGAUGAGAUAAGGCUGGGGAGAUAAUAUCAUGGAAUAAUACUAUGAAGGUUUCUAUAUUAUCAGUAUAGAGAGUAUGGAUUUUAUUUACCAACAAUGAAGAGCCAUUGAACCAUUGAGCAGUUUAACCAGGGGACAGGAGAGAGUUACAUUUAAAAAAAUUCUGGAAGCAACAGAAUGAUGAGAUAGAUUUCUGAACUAAAGCAGUGGUCAUGGAAAUGAGAAGGAGGAAUUUAAAAGGGAUUUAGAGUUUCAUCAUUUGAGAAACAAUAAAGGUGUACAAUGAUCCUCAUUUGUAUAUUUAUCUUAAUACUGGGCAUUUGCAAAAAGAAAUGAGUUAGAAAGAGAAAUAAAUGGUUUUGAUGAGGUUGAGUUUGAGAAACACAAGAAAUAUCCAGGAAAGAGCCCUCAAGCACUCAUAGUCUGGGGAAGGUGGUUACAUGUGAACAAAUAAUAGAAUGUGAGUGAUGUGGUUUGGCUGUAUUCCCACCCAAAUCUCAACUUGAAUUGUAUCUCCCAGUAUUUCCACAUGUUGUGGGAGGGACCCAGGGGAAGGUAAUUGAAUCAUGGGGCCGGUCUUUCUCCUGCUAUUCUUGUGAUAGUGAAUAAGUCUCAUAACAUCUGAUGGGUUUCCACUUUUGCUUCUUCCUCAUUUUCUCUUGCCCCUGCCAUGUAAGAGGCACCUUUUGCCUCCCACCAUGAUUCUGAGGCCUCCUCAGCCAUGUGGAACAGUCUGCAGACUAAGAGGAGCCAUGCCCAGACAUGAUAAAAAGAUUAUGGAGCACCACUCACAGAUCCUGGACUCAACAAUGGAUGCAGUCACUGGAUGGAACUUUUGGCCAUUAAUUGAGUGCCUACCAUAUAGACACUGGGACCACAAUGAAGAAGAUAACCACUGAUCCUGUGGAACUUUUAGCUAAUGGAAAUCAAUUCCUGAGUAUCCAUGUAAUAUUGGAUGCUCAGCAUUAUUUAUCGGGACUCAUUAAUUGAUAUUUCAUAGGAAUUUAAGAAUGUUUUCUCAAGGAAAAGCUCAUUAUUCUGAUUGAAUUCAAGAAAAUAUUUCUUACUGAGUUUAGUGAUAUAAAACCACAUGAAACUAACAGUAUCUGAUUAAGACCAAUAGCCAAGUUCAUUUUUAAUGUCUUUAUCCUACAAAUCAACAAAACUUGUCAGUGAAAAGAGGAAUAUUGAUCAAUCACUUGAAUGUUUCAUUAAAUCCAAAUCUUUUGUAUAACAGUGAAAAAGUAUUUAAUGUUUGGAUGGUUUAAUUUAUCUUCAUCUGUAUGGGCUUUUUCUGUUAUUUGGGCCACUAAUGUGUUUUAGUUUAGUUUUUUGGUUUUGGGUGUUUUCUGUCUUUUUUUUUUUUUUUUUUUUUUUUGGUAAAGUCAUUGUGUUCUCUCUUGGUCUUCUGCUUUCAACUAUCAGGUUGCCAAUUCAAUUACUCACAAAUCUCUCUGAAAAAUAUUUUGAAAUUUACUUUUGUUUAUAUAACAUCUUAUUUUCUGACAUUUGUCUUUCCUUUAAAGAAAAAUAUUUUAUAGGCCUGCAACAUGACUCUUUUGCAAGGAAAUUUUACUAAAAAGAUAGCUACUGUAGAUUUUUU